rnacentral:rRNA from 1 species
AUUGAACGCUGGCGGCAGGCCUAACACAUGCAAGUCGAACGGUAACAGGGAUCAGCUUGCUGAUUCGCUGACGAGUGGCGGACGGGUGAGUAAUGUCUGGGAAACUGCCUGAUGGAGGGGGAUAACUACUGGAAACGGUAGCUAAUACCGCAUAACGUCGCAAGACCAAAGAGGGGGACCUUCGGGCCUCUUGCCAUCGGAUGUGCCCAGAUGGGAUUAGCUAGUAGGUGGGGUAACGGCUCACCUAGGCGACGAUCCCUAGCUGGUCUGAGAGGAUGACCAGCCACACUGGACUGAGACACGGUCCAGACUCCUACGGGAGGCAGCAGUGGGGAAUAUUGCACAAUGGGCGCAAGCCUGAUGCAGCCAUGCCGCGUGUAUGAAGAAGGCCUUCGGGUUGUAAAGUACUUUCAGCGGGGAGGAAGGGAGUAAAGUUAAUACCUUUGCUCAUUGACGUUACCCGCAGAAGAAGCACCGGCUAACUCCGUG